UAGGAACAAGUGAGGAAUUACCAAAUGAUUGAAUCUGAUGUAUAUUUUGUAAGGAAUUGACGAUAACUCCUGAAGAUGCUGUAUAAACACAGUGAAACCGGUUGAGUGAAAAUU